rnacentral:rRNA from 1 species
GACGAACGCUGGCGGCGUGCCUAAUACAUGCAAGUAGGACGCAGUUGCGAACGGUUGAGUUACGCGUAGGUAACUGCCUAUUGUACGGGGAUGACUAUUGGUAACGAUAGCUACUACCGCAUACUAGUAGAUGGUCCUGCGUUGUAUUAGCUAGUAGGUAGGGUAAUGGCCUACCUACGCGACGAUACAUAGCCGACCCUAGAGGGGUGACGGCCACAAUGGGACCGGGACACGGCUCCGACUCCUACGGGAGGCAGCAGUAGGGGAUCAUGGGAAAUGGGGGGAACGCUGGACAAGGAAAGCCGCGUGAGUGAAGAAGGUUUUCGGAUCGGUAAGGUCUGUUGUGAAGGGAGCGGUACUUACACAGAAAGGGACGGCUAACUACGUGCCAGCAGCCGCGGUAAUUC